GACGAACGCUGGCGGCGUGCCUAAUACAUGCAAGUCGAGCGGACAGAAGGGAGCUUGCUCCCGGAAGUUAGCGGCGGACGGGUGAGUAACACGUGGGCAACCUACCCUGUAGAUCGGGAUAACAUCGAGAAAUCGGUGCUAAUACCGGAUAAUCAUUUGAAGUGCAUGCUUCGAAUGUAAAAGAUGGCUCCGGCUAUCACUACGGGAUUGGCCCGCGGCGCAUUAGCUGGUUGGUAAGGUAAUGGCUUACCAAGGCAACGAUGCGUAGCCGACCUGAGAGGGUGAUCGGCCACACUGGGACUGAGACACGGCCCAGACUCCUACGGGAGGCAGUAGUAGGGAAUCUUCCGCAAUGGACGAAAGUCUGACGGAGCAACGCCGCGUGAGUGAUGAAGGUUUUCGGAUCGUAAAGCUCUGUUGUUAGGGAAGAACAAGUGCCGUUUGAAUAAGGCGGCACCUUGACGGUACCUAACCAGAAAGCCACGGCUAACUACGUGCCAGCAGCCGCGGUAACAC
rnacentral:rRNA from 1 species